AUGUCCUUCGCGGGCGUAUCUGCCAUCGCCAACGGCGAGCUCCUGGGAUCUGGCACCUCUCCCACCUUCAACGCCUACGCGGCCAGCGGGUACCACUUGCUUGUCGUCCAGGGUUACUCAAUCAAGCGCGGACUCAUCGAGUCUCACUCCUUUACCAUCGGCGGCCAGCGCUGGUGCAUCCACUACAUGCCUCAACACGGGGACAACGUUGGCUCCAUCACACUUUUUCUUAGCCUCGUCGAGAGCACUAAAGAGCCCAUAAAGGCACAGUUCGAGUUCAGUUUCGUUAACCAGACUGACAAGCAAGAGCCGGCAAGUAUCCACGACAGUGAAAUAUUCGAGUUCCGAACUAGUAAGCUCAAAGUCAUCGAAAGAGAGGCCUUGGAGAAACACCUGAAGGACGACAGUUUCACCAUUCGAUGCGACAUCGUGGUCGUAAAUCCAACAUGCAGCACUUCUCGAUUUGUUGCGGUGCCACCGUCCAACAUGCAACAGAACUUCACCGACCUUCUCCUGGCCGGGCAGGGCACAGACGUUGUCUUUUGUGUGGGCGGCAAGACGAUCACCGCCCACCGUUGUGUCCUGGCGGCCCGCUCUACUGUCUUCAGGGCGGCACUCUUCGGUCCAAUGCAGGAAGGCAUGUCGUCGUCCAUUGUGCAGAUAGAUGACAUGGACGCGCCAGUGUUCAAGGCAAUGCUAGAGUUCAUCUACGGCGACACGCUGCACGCAAUGAAGGAGAGCAAGGACGAGGUCAUGGUGUUGCUGCAACACCUGCUCGUAGCGGCAGACAGGUACAACCUCCAGAGGCUGAGGCUGAUGUGCGAGAAGAAUCUCUGCGAGCACAUCGGUGUGGAUACGGUGACGAGCAUCCUGGCACUCGCCGAGCAGCACGGUUGUCACGGGCUGAAGAAGGCGUGCUGCGAGUUCCUCCGGUGUCCGGACAACCUGAGGGCGGUGGUGGACACGGAUGGAUUUGAUCACUUGUGCAGAAGCUGCCCCCCUCUCUUAUGA
rnacentral:rRNA from 1 species